CUGGUGUGGCCGGUACCCAAUCCCGGCUGUGCCGAAGCUAACGCGAUAAGCAUCCCCGCCUGGGGAGUACGGUCGCCAAGGCUGAAACUCAAAGGAAUUGACGGGGGCCCGCACAAGCGGUGGAGCAUGUGGUUCAAUUCGACGCAACGCGAAGAACCUUACCUGGGCUCGAAGCACAGUGGACCGGGAUAGAAAUAUCCCUUUUCGCAAGAACUGCUGUGGAGGUGCUGCAUGGCUGUCGUCAGCUCGUGUCGUGAGAUGUUGGGUUAAGUCCCGCAACGAGCGCAACCCUUAUCGUUAGUUGCCAGCGAGUCAAGUCGGGCACUCUAGCGAAACCGCCCCGGAUAACGGGGAGGAAGGUGGGGAUGACGUCAAGUCCUCAUGGCCUUUAUGUCCAGGGCUACACACGUGCUACAAUGGUCGGUACAAACCGUCGCAAACCUGCGAAGGGGAGCUAAUCGGAAAAAGCCGGCCUCAGUUCGGAUUGGAGUCUGCAACUCGACUCCAUGAAGCUGGAAUCGCUAGUAAUCGCGGAUCAGCACGCCGCGGUGAAUACGUUCCCGGGCCUUGUACACACCGCCCGUCACAUCACGAAAGUGGACUGCACUAGAAGCCGGUGAGCCAACCGCAAGGGGGCAGCCGUCCAAGGUAUGGUUCAUGAUUGGGGUGAAGUCGUAANCAAGGUACC
rnacentral:rRNA from 1 species